GAUGCAACACCUAAAGAGCUGGAGGAAAAUGAGCCUUCUUUACCAAGCUGCAGCAGCAGCCAGGGUUCUGAUACUAGCAUUUUUUCCAUGAAAAUGAAGAUAGAAUUUCUGGAAGAGAAAAUAAAGUGGCAAGAAAAAAUGAUCGGAGAGCUAGAAAAUGAACGUGAUUUUCUCCGAGAACAGGUUCUUGGGAAAGCCAAAGGACAAGAUGUUGCACCUUUCAGUGUCAAACAAGAAGUCCACCACCAUGAUCCCAAUGAUGACACUACCUCCUCAUCACAAAAUUUGAGCGAAUCUGAUGAGCCUGUACUAAUAGACAACAAACAGAAGAAAAGGAAGAAGGUGGCACACCA